CGGCGAGAAAAUGGGGGAGAUUUCGGCUCAAGGCGGUUGUUUGGCAGACUUCUGGAAGGCAAAUCUCCUGCAGGUGCAAGGGCUCCAAUUCUGGCUGAAAAAGCUCCAAUUCUGGCUGAAACGGUGGGAAACCGAAGUUUUCCUCUUCAUCUGUCACAACAGUGUUAGGAACAGGACUACAUGGCCCAUGAGUCAUCACAAAGGUGUUGGAAUAACAACAAAACAAAAAGUUUAUUUGCUGAUGAUAUGUUGUUGACAAUUAAGAAUAUGUGUGGCAAUAUGGAUAGAAUAAAGUUAUAUUUAGAGAUAUUUGGUCAAAUAACAGGAUUACAAAUCAAUUGGAAAAAAUCAGAAAUGAUGUUAAUUAUACAAAAAAGGAAGAAGCUUUUAUGAAACAGGCUAACACGGGAUUAAAGAUUAAGAAUAAAAUAAAAUAUUUAGGAGUAACUAUAACUAAGGAGUUACAUGAAAUGGAAGAGGUAAAUGUUACAACAUUAAGGAAAGCAACUCAAUGCAGCAUUUUGGCAAUGAUGUAUAGCUGCGGGAAGGGGUGACCGGCUGGUUGAGGAUGCAAGCGGCAGAGUUUUGUGGGGAAAGAGUUGCCAAACUCAUUCAUCGCUAUGAUAAGUGCCUAGAUUUGAAUGGCGACUAUGUUGAGAAGUGGUAUUUGGGUGUGGCUUUCAACUGCAUAUGGUAAAUGUUUUCUCCUAUACUUUGUUCAUUUUAAAUUCCAAAAUGUAAUCUACUUUCUGGAUAACCCUCGUAUAAAAGAAAACUACUGCCUACUGAAAUAAAAACAGAUCAAAAAGGGUGCUUUCAGCUGAGUACAAUUAAUCUUGACAACACAAAAUAUUAUUAACCAAUAUAUAUGCCCCUAACAAUGGACAGUCCAUCUUCUUUACCAAAAUGCCCUUCCCAGAGAGAUCAGACAAGUCCAUACUUUAUCCUUGUUUCGUAAGGAUCUGAAAACCUGGUGGCUUCAGCAGAUCUUUGAGUAAAGCUCCCUUAGACCUACCGGCUACACUCUUGCUUAGCACUUUACCCACCCCUUAUCCACUAUGUAUUGUAGCAUCUGACACACCUAGCACCUUAUAGCUGGUCACUUCAAAGCUGUAUCCUGGUCACCAUGUCUGGGUUUUGAUGGAGUUUUGUCACGGAUUUUAAAUACUUGUUAUAUGACUAUAUGUCUUAUGUAUCUAUUUUCACAUGGUAUUAUUAUGUUUUAAUUACUGUAUGGUUUUUAACUUGUUGUAUAUUUCCUGUUGUAUUGGAAACCGCUCUAAGUCCCUCGAGGAGAUAGGAAGAGACAAGUACUAUAUAAAUAAGGGACAAGUGCUAUAUAAAUAAAGUUUUAUUAUUAUUAUUUAUUAAAAUGCAUAAAUAAAUAGAUGACUUAAACUAUGAUGAACCAAUCAUACUAAGUCUUCAACAUGGUAGUGGAACAAAAUAUCGACAGAAAAGCAAAGCAAAGGAAAAGAACUCCCACAAAGUUUUUGGAAAUUAACAAAUGAUCUGGAUCUUAUAGACAUAUGGCGAUUUCAUCAUGGAUCAGAAAAGGAUUUUGCAUUCCUAUCAGACAGAGACAGACACAACUUGCUGUCGAGAAUUGACAUGAUCUGGGCCACAAAAAGCCUUACUACACAGUUUUUAAAAUCUGAGAUCCAUCCAAGUUUAGUGUCAGAUCAUGCCCGCAUCUUGAUGCAACUAAAAUGAGAAACCAGACAAUGGUCAUGGAGGCUUAAUGACAAUUUAUUCAAGAAAGAGGAAACCUUAAAAGAAAUGUAAAAAUUAUAUUUUAUAAUUUCUACAGGUAAACACAACCCCAGGUAUUUUACUAUAUACAAUUUGGGAUAUGGCAAUGUCUUAUAUGAGGGGUAAAUCAAUACAACUCAAUGUAAUAGAAAAGAAAAAAAAACAAAUUAUUUCUUGAAUUAAGGAGGCUCACAAAGAUAAAGAAAAGUUCUGUAUUAUAGCCAAAUUUAGCUAUGAUGUCAAUUUCUUUUAUCUUAUUAAUUUGUCAGAUUCCUGAGCUUCCUUCCCCACAGCCCCAUGCUGAGUAAUACCAAAACGUAUUCCUGGAAGGAUUAUUAUUAUUAUUUCCUUAUGUAUGAAGAAGGGAUGGAAAAGGUAGAUGAAACUUAUAUGUUUAAUUUAUUGUGUUUGAAGUUUCCUUCAGCCUGCCACCUGCAGAAGGCAUGGACAAAAGAAAGCUACAUCAUCUACUUCUUCUAGAAAAAAAACCAUUAGAAAGAGGAACUGGGAGGGCAGGACAUGUGCAUUUUUCUGGUCAAGCGUCUAUACAAUGUCCAUUUCAGUUGGCAGCUAAUAAGUGUGAAAGAAAUCCAUCUGCUUACCAUGCAAAAGGAAAAGCCUGAUAAAUUACUAAUGUGCCAGAGAAAUGUUUUAAAAAAGAGUACCGCAUGUGAUACUGCUGAGAAGACUCAAUCAGUAACCUGCUAUGGAUAUAGGUUGUACUUAACCUGCUCAGUGUAGCAUAUGGUUGCAACAGUACUUUGAAAUACUUUAAAAUAUCCUGGGCUUUAUACAAAGUAGAUUUAUUUCACAAAUGUAAAUACAUAGAAAAACAAAUUGGAAAAGAUA
ensembl:lncRNA